ACAGGCUAGGGACACCAUCCCUGUCUCUAUCCCAAUCCUAUCUGUUUCCCAUUCCUGGCUCCUCAUCCCAUUCUCAGCACCUAGCCAGUCUGCCCUCUAGGCUUCAUUUCAGUCCCCUUCCCCAGCCAAGUCUCUGUCCAGUAAGCACGCUCCCCACCAGAGCCAGGAGUGGAAAGACCAGUUAACUUACCUGAAAAAUCAGUUACUGUAAAAAUGUCUUGUCCACCCAUACCACUUCUGGUGCAUAUGAGAAGAGAUCCUUUUUUUUGGACAGCAGUGUCUGUCAGGGUCUACAUCCUAGCUGUCCUUGUGUUCCUCACUACCGGAGGGUAUAAAAAGUAGAGCAAUCCCAAUCAUUUCUUUGCCAAUACAGUAACCCAGUGUUUUCGGACUCUGAGUAGGAAAUGGGCAGGGGAGGUUGUGGGAUCCGUACAUGACCAACAGACACUAGUUUUUGGAGAUGUUUUGUCUAUAACAAUCCACAUAUCUGUCCACAUGGAUCCCUCUUUGUCAUAGACCAUUUCUUGUUAGUUUGGAGGUGGGUAGUAAGAUUCUUUCUAAAAUAGACAUCUGAUGUGUCUUGUAAAAGUGGACUGAGCUUCACAUAGCUGCCCUACAACUUUGGAAAUAUGCAGCUUCAGCUGCUGUUUGAAGAAUGUCCCUCAAUACACUUGGGCAUUAGAGCUCAUUUGACUAGUAUCUGAUCUGGCUAGCUCGCAUGUUAACAUCCAACUGUAUAAGAACAGGUGUAGAUAUCACUGAUCUUUAACAUCAAGGCUGCAAUCCAGGUCUCUCUAAAUUGCUUUCUUCAAGAUAUAGUAGGAUUGUUUUACUACAUAAGUGUAUGAAAUUUAGGCUUGGAAGAAAGCUAGGAGGUUAAUGUGGAAUUCUGAAAUGCCUGUGGGCAGGAAUUUGGGAUGAGUUCAUAUGAAACUCUGCAUAAGCAGCACCUGCCAUGCAGGCCUGAAUCUCCCCUACCCUUUGAACUGAGAUAAUGGCUACCAAAAAGGCAACUUUGUGGAUUGGUGGUGGGGCUGAUAUGUGAUUUAUAAAUCUAUGUUCUGGUUAUUUAGACGUAUACAGUAUUGAUACUGUAUGUUCAAUCAGCUGGCUUUUAGGAAAACAAAAUAAUGGUUCUAGAUAAGAUGACGUUCGGUAACUACUUAAAGGUUAUGGCAAUACCCAAAAUUUUAGCUGUAAAGAGCCUACCUCUAGGUUCCAAUCAGUUACAAAACUUGGUUUACCAAUACUGAGUCAAAAGGACUAGAAAGAGUUAGAACUCCAGACAGAAGUCUCUAACUCCUGUUAUUGAAGGGGAGGGGGAACAGGCAAGGGCUGGGGUGAACUGUCUCUUCUAUUUGAAGAAGCCAGGCUUGCCUGCCCCAUAAUCACAGGAUAGUAAGGCUCUAGGUAAGAUAGACAUGAAUAUAUACUAUUUGUUUAAGUUGCUUUUCUGAUUCUUUGGCUUAAGAAGGCUGUCUAGUCACCACUAGUCAAACUCUUGAAGAGAAGAACCUAUCAGACCUGAUGGCUAAGCCUGAUUGAUCAACAGGGUACUUGCUCCUGGGGGGGAGUCUGUGCCAAAACAGUAAAAAUUCUGCAUAUUUUAUUUGUUAAAAUAAUGCAAUAUAAUCACACCAGUUUCAACUGUUUUGGUAAUUUAAACUACAAGAGAAAAUCACUCAUGUAUUUAGGAAAUGCUGAAUAGUUAAAGUUAAAUUAAACACUUGGUAACUAAUACCCUCAUUCCAGUUAUAAUGCUGGAUUUUCAUUUAAAUUACAGUACAGAACACCAAACAGCAAUUUAAAAAAAAAAGUAGUAUGUCAAUUUAAAUUGCUCAUAAAUUGCUCAGACUUUCACACAUGAAAGUCAUACUGUUUUGCUAAUUGUCCUGGACCUGGCUGAGUACUUUGAGAAGUGCUUGGUUCUAAUUUACCAAGCAGUCAAUAAAAUGCAAGGAUAAUGUUUUAUUUGCC